AGACAAGAAAGUGGAAUUGAAAACUACAACAUGUUAAUGGAAGCAAGGCACCUGUUGAAGGAAAAAGAAGAUCCAUCCUUAUAGAAAUAGUUGAAGGCAACUGAGAAAAGUUGAAGCCAUUAUGAGUUGCCAGAAAGCUGCACUUGAGUUAAACAUAGGGUCACAGCUUGGGCCAAAGAGUCCUGAGAGAACAGAAGGUGUAACUGCAUUUGAAGACUAUGGCACAGGCCUGCUUGAAAACCAACUCAGCGUGGGUGACUUUGUAAAAAUACAGAAGGCCUUUGAGGAUGGGGAUAUUUGGCUCACAGAGCAGAACUACCAGUGGCUAAAGACAAGACAGAAGCUGGGAUUACUCACAUGGAUGAAAUGUCGCUCUUGUAUAUGUGAAAGAGCCAUGGUUCUGGGAACAGUCCCCAGAGCCAAGGAAAAUCAUUUGUAUGUCCAGAGAAGACUUCACGCAGAAGAUGACAGAGAUUGUUGGUUGGGGCACGAAGGAAGAAUACGGGGAGCUCUUUGACAAAGUGGAUGUGGCCCAAGAUGGCUUCAUUAAUUGGGACAAGCUGACUUCAU
rnacentral:sRNA from 1 species